GAAAAAGACAUGGAUAAAACGUUUUCUUUCCAAGCUUGGGGAAAUGCUUUCAAAACGAUUGGGAGAUCUAUACAUUGUGUGAAUAUACAGGAGACCUUUUUAAAACUUGUACAUAGAUUGUAUAUGGUUCCUAUAAACCUAUGUAAAUUCCAAUCAAAUACCUCUAAUCUAUGUUGGAGGUGUAAUAGAGAUGCUGGCUCACCAAAACAUAUAUAUGGUGGAAUUGUCUUAAACUAAAUCAUCUCAACUGGAAAGUUACAAAAAAUUUUAUAGACUUGUAAAUUGAUAUUACCUUAUCUUUAGAGUGAUUUCUUUUUCUUCUUGACCUCCCUUGUCCAUCUAGACUUCAUUUUGUUGGUCAUAUUUUAACCCCUUAAGGACACAGCUUCAGAAGCUUGUCUUACGCUUUAGGACACAAGCAAUUUUUGCAUUUUUUUCUGUUUGUGUUCAAACGCAAUUUGCAUCUCUUUCAUUUAUGGCACCAACAUAUAUUAUAUAUUGUUUUUGAGGGCAAACAGGGCUUUAAUUUGAUGUCACAUAUAUAUAG